rnacentral:tRNA from 1 species
GGGGAUUUGGCUCAAUGGUAGAGCGCUUGCCUAGCAAACGCAAGGCCCUGGGUUCAGUCCCCA